GACGAACGCUGGCGGCGUGCUUAACACAUGCAAGUCGAACGACGUGUCGAACGGGUGAGUAAUACGUGAGUAACCUGCCCUCCUUUUUGGGGUAAGCCUUGGAAACGGGGUCUAAUACCGAAUUCAGGGGGAUGGGCUGGCGGCCUAUCAGCUUGUUGGUGGGGUGAUGGGCUACCAAGGCGGUGACGGGUAGCCGGCCUGGGAGGGGGACCGGCCACAUGGGGAGUGGGACACGGCCCAGACGGCGACAGGAGGCAGGAGUGGGGGAUAUUGCACGAUGGGCGAAAGCCUGAUGGAGCGACGCCGCGUGGGGGAUGUAGGCUGUCGGGGUGUAAACCUCUUUGGCUAUCGAACGGGUAGGUGCAGAAGAAGCGCCGGCUAACGACGUGCCAGCAGCCGCGGUAAUAC
rnacentral:rRNA from 1 species